ACUCUAGUCUUUCUUUUGAUUUUCCAGCUACUAGAUAUGAUUAAACCUGUAAUAAAUGGAGUGAAGCCUCUAUAUUACAUUCUCCAGGGAGUUUUUUGUGGUAAUUUAUUAAAUAAAAAGAUAAAUUCUGUUGGGCUAAUAUAUUUGUUUUAAUUGAGCUUUGAGGGUGUUGUACAUUUGAAUGACUUUUACCCAGUAGAUACUGAAAUAUGUUUUUUAAUUAUAAGUUUGGUGUACAUAUGUGGGAAACCAGCAAAGUUCCAUAUAGUAUAGUCUUGGCUUAGUGAGAUAAAAGUUAUAGAAGAGGACAUUGGAAAUCUAGCCACACUGUGGCUAAUAGGCUUGGUUCUCUGAAAUAAAAGUAUAAUUCAGGGCCAAUAAUGUGGAAGGCAUUGAGAAGCAUAUCCACCAAGGAGCAACAUUAUGGUCAUUUUGUCUUUGUUAUUACUUACUGCUUUAUUCUGAGAACAAUACAGGCAUUAAAGUUCUAGAAGCUUCACAGAUCAUUAAUCAUCAACAUAAAUUCAGUGAAUUAGAAUUCUUUCUUCAAAAGUAUGUGUCAACUUCAGAUUGCAGAUUUGCCAAAGCUUCAUGUAGAGCCCUUCUCUCUUUUAUCACGAGUAAAAGUUCAGGUUUAAAAUAGAACAACGGAUGACUAAUGCCAUUUCCAGCUGUGACUGAAUUCUCCACUGCCUGAUGCUUUUCAAAUGUAUCUGAAUCAGAAUCGAACACCCACUUUAUGCAUAGCUCCCUAAUCAGGAAGUUAUUCUUCCCAUCAAAGCAACUGGAAAGAAAAAAGAUAAAACAAUGAAGGGAGGAGAAAACACAAAAGUUCAAGAAGAGCAGAAUGUUCCGGUCUGUGGCGUUGACAUUAUCAAUGCUAUGGAUGCCUCAAGGCUCUCAUAAAAAUACAUGGCUUCAGCAAUACGCAUGCAGUUAUCUCAGUUUAAAGGAAAUGGGUUCUGCUCCCUGCUUAAUAAGAAAUCCUGCUUACUUCUCCAGCUUUUGAAGCACAGAUUAUUUUUCUUCUCUUCAUCAUAUAAAAAUGGAAAUUAUCAAAACAAAACAUCAUCAAAACAAAACAUCAUCAAAAACAGGUUGCUCUCUGAGUAAAGGUUUUAUGUUUGUUUGG
ensembl:lncRNA novel transcript, antisense to ABCA12